CCCUUAGAUGUUCUGGGCCGCACGCGCGCUACACUGAUGCAUUCAACGAGUUUCUUCCUGGUCCGAGAGGAAUGGGUAACCUUUUGAAAGUGCAUCGUGAUAGGGAUAGACUAUUGCAAUUAUUGGUCUUCAACGAGGAAUUCCUAGUAGACGUAGUUCAUCAGACUGCAUCGAUUACGUCCCUGCCCUUUGUACACACCGCCCGUCGCUCCUACCGAUUGAAUGUUCCGGUGAGCUCUUCGGACUGCGCGGUCUGCAGUUUCAGCGUUCCGUGCGGAAAGUUGCGCAAACCUUAACAUUUAGAGGAAGGAGAAGUCGUAACA
rnacentral:rRNA from 1 species